AAGGGAGACCUAAUUCCGGUAGGAGACGAAAAAAAAGGUAGUCCCAACCAAGAAUCAAUCCCAAAAGGUCGGAACGAGGUAUGAGGCUUUCAAACUAGGUUCUGGGUUCAUAAAAGACCUGAAUCAGGAACAAGGGCUAUUAGCUCAGGUGGUUAGAGCGCACCCCUGAUAAGGGUGAAGACCCUGGUUCGAGUCCAGGAUGGCCCACCUGCACAGGUGGCAAAAACAAGAGAAGCUCCGAAUCAGCACCUUAUCUUAUAUACAUAUAUAAGAGAGAAUGCUGGCUCUGAGUAAAGAGUCCAGAGGAACCUUGAAAACUGCAUAGAGCUAGGUGAAAAAGCCAAAAAAGAAGACCGCAA
rnacentral:tRNA from 1 species